rnacentral:lncRNA from 1 species
AAUGUGACUUUAAUAGAACACUCUGAAAACUAAAACUUGUUCUAGCUACAUAGUUCAUCUUUAAGUCAAGCAUCUUUAAGUCAACCUGCUUGAAGCACAACCUAAUUCUUGAAACAUAAAUCUACUUUUAUUUUCUAUAGGGCGAACUUUCUGACCAAGUAUACAACUACCCAGAGGGCCUAGGAGAAGUGCUGUAUAGAGAGCAGUUCGACUUCAACGCUGAGCCACCUUGGGAACCUAGCUGAUGAUAGGGGGGUUCCAUCUCCUAACUUGUCCAUGGAGGUCUUCACUUCAGAAACCCAAGACUCAUAUUCAUCCAGCUUGGUGUCAAGUGGCUGUUGCUGCCAGAAUUAUCUUGUGA